rnacentral:rRNA from 1 species
UAGGGAAUCUUCCGCAAUGGACGCAAGUCUGACGGAGCAACGCCGCGUGAGUGAAGAAAGAGUUCGGUUCGUAAAACUCUGUUGUUAGAGAAGAACAGCGCAUAGAGUAACUGUUAUGCGUGUGACGGUAUCUAACCAGAAAGCCACGGCUAACUACGUGCCAGCAGCCGCGGUAAUACGUAGGUGGCAAGGGUUGUCCGGAAUCACUGGGCGUAAAGGGUUCGCAGGCGGAAAUGCAAGUAAGGGGUAAAAGGCAGUAGCUUAACUACUGUAAGCAUUUGAAACUGCAUAUCUUGAGAAGAGUAGAGGUGAGUGGAAUUUUGAGUGUAGCGGUGAAAUGCGUAGAUAUUGAAAAGAAUACCGGUGGCGAAGGCGACUUACUGGGCUCAUUCUGACGCUGAGGAACGAAAGCGUGGGUAGCAAACAGG